GAAAUGCGAUACUUGGUGUGAAUUGCAGAAUCCCGUGAACCAUCGAGUCUUUGAACGCAAGUUGCGCCCGAAGCCAUUAGGCCGAGGGCACGCCUGACCUGAGGUCUCGUUGGGAGCGUGCGUGCACGCAAAGGGUCGUCGAUGGGUCCAGAACUGACCGGCUCGCACGUGAUUGGUCUCGAGCGUGGCUCAUCCACCAUUUUAUCACGGCGAAGUCGGCCAUGAACCCAGAUUUCAACCAACCACGAGGCGGGUGCUCGCGGGAGGUCA
rnacentral:misc_RNA from 1 species